rnacentral:rRNA from 1 species
GACGAACGCUGGCGGCGUGCUUAACACAUGCAAGUCGAGCGGAAAGGCCCUUCGGGGUACUCGAGCGGCGAACGGGUGAGUAACACGUGAGUAACCUGCCCCAGACUUUGGGAUAACCCUCGGAAACGGGGGCUAAUACCGGAUACGACACAGCUUCGCAUGGGGUCUGUGUGGAAAGUUUUUCGGUUUGGGAUGGGCUCGCGGCCUAUCAGCUUGUUGGUGGGGGGAUGGCCUACCAAGGCGACGACGGGUAGCCGGCCUGAGAGGGCGACCGGCCACACUGGGACUGAGACACGGCCCAGACUCCUACGGGAGGCAGCAGUGGGGAAUAUUGCACAAUGGGCGGAAGCCUGAUGCAGCGACGCCGCGUGAGGGAUGACGGCCUUCGGGUUGUAAACCUCUUUCAGCAGGGACGAAGCGUAAGUGACGGUACCUGCAGAAGAAGCGCCGGCCAACUACGUG